AGGUCAACAGGGAGGAACCCUAGCCAUAAGCACCUCCUCGGAUGACGCCUCUGCUACACCAAGAUAGAGAUAUAUAUGAUAUCUACAUGGCUGCUAUGCUACUUUCUUUGUGUGAUGAAUCAUUGUGAGUUUCGAAGAAACUUCCAAUGUUACCUCCGCCAAGUUUGCCGGCAGAAGAAGCACAUCCAUUGAGCCGUUCAAUGUCGCCUGCGGUGGCUACACCAGAGGGUAACCAUGGUAGCAUCUUGAGCCCAAGAACAGUGUUACUGCCAUUUAACGCCGCGAUGUUUUAGCUCCAGGAAUUUGGACCCUCC